rnacentral:lncRNA from 1 species
CAUCCCUCUCUAGAAAUACACCAUCUUGGAAGUAUCAGACGAUAUUAAUGCAUCUAAAUGGGUAUCUUGCCAUCCCAUGCCAUAUCCAUAUGCUGUUUACGGUUGUCAUCACAUAGCUACAGGGAGUAAAGUGUUCAAGGUAUCUUUGGUUGGUGAUGAGAAUGGAGAUAAAAUGGAAGCUCUUGGAAUGUGUCACUUGGAUACAUCUGACUGGAACCCUGAUCAUGAGUUAUUCAAGACACUAAGAAUCAAGCCUGGGAAGAAUUCUUCAGCGUGUCACUUCUUUCCUGUAAACCAUCUUUUGUGGGUUCCGCUACAACCUUCAAAAUCAACCAUAUGAAGGAGUUGACCUAUCUAGAUCUCUAUCAUGUAAAAUAAAUAAUAAAUUGGUCAAUCAACAUUAUCAAUCCGCAGUAGCUAGCAAUAGCAUAUGCAUGCUGCUGAGUGAUCACCAAUUUCAUGUUGUGUGUCUUGUUUCUUAAAUUAUGUAAUGUGUGUUAGUUUGUUAACGUCUGUGUGCAUGAGAAAGGUUGUACAACACAAUCAAAACACAAACUUGGACUUGUUGCAAUCUUUAAUUGCUACUCUAAAUUAAUUAAAAUUAUUUAAUGCUUAACUUGUUUUGUGUCAACUUUUUUUUCUUCUGAAACAACCUUUAUAAGAUUUUGACUUUUGUUUUUUAAUAAUAAGAUUUAAGACUAAAAUAAAUAAAUAAAUAUGGAAGUGACAAUCACGACAUUUCUUAUUUUUAUUUAGCAUCAUCCUUCUCUUAUGCUAUUUAGCUUCUGCAAACAGAAGAAACUAACACAAUAUUAAUUAAAUUUCUAGCAAAGAAUAGUUCUAUAAUUAUCUAGACAAUAAAAUAGUUUGAGGAGUAUCAUGUAAAAUAGAGAAACAAAGAUACCAAACAUAUCGCAUAAUAGAAUGAUAAUUUAUUCAAAAUCAUCCAAUGUACACAAUAUGCGCAACAAACUCUUUCAAUGUCUUAAACCUAAUCCUUGUGGAAAGAACUCUCCAUCACAAGCCAAUUAGCAGCGAGGCCCCAAAACCUAAACUAAGAUGUCUUAUGUUUGAGAAAUAUUUCACGAUGGAUUUUAUCAUGCACUUAGGCAUCUCUCAUGCAAAAAUCAUGAAUUUAUUGUCCAACAUUAAUACCAUCUCCUAGUUUUUUUUUUUUUUUAAGUUGCAAAUGAAAUUUAUUGAUUAUAGUAAGCAAAUAAAUAAGUAUAUUAUUAGUAAAAAUGAAAUAGAGUAAGCGGUUGUGCAUUUCAAUUGUUCCGGUUAACGAUAAGAAAUUGCAGGUCCUGAGUUUAAAUUCGGACGAAUGAAUAAAUAUUAAUAUAAUAAUUAAUUACUAACAUUUUCUUUCUAAAAAAAUUAACAUUUGUUAGUAAUAAAAGUAGGAGAGAGAAGAUGAGUGGACUUACAUGAGCUACAUGUAAGGACAUUAUUAAAUUGAAUAUUUUUACUUGAAUAUCUCUUAUAAUUUCUAAUUAAAUUGUUUGUAUAUGUUAUGCAUUUGAAAAUUUAUUUUCAAAAAAACAUGGUCACCCUUAAGUAUAAUUUUUGGCUCCGUCCGCAGGCAUAACUACAUGUUACUACAUAAAUGUUCCACCCAAUACACAAAUUAAGCAAGUGACCAUUUUCAAGAUUUGGAUGCAACGGACGUAUUCAUUCCAAAAAGAGAGAAACAAAGAAGGAAAAGUGUUAGGAUUUGCAAGAUUUGUGGGGGUAAAAUAUGUACGCAGUCUUGAAUAUCAACAAGAAUGUGUGGUUUUGUUCUUAUAAGAUAUGGCCAAUAUCUCAAAAUUUUCAAAAGAAGAUGAUGAGUCAUGAGAUGUAAAGGUGAAGAUAAAAGAUGGAGGGAAAGAAUCAACAAUGGAUGCAAUUUCAAUGGGGGGACAAUGUCUUCAUUAAGGUUGAUGAUGACUUGGAGCUAAUUUUAGUGCAUAAUAUUAAAUAGGUAUCUGAGACUUAUAGUUCUGUUUUCUCGAUCAUAAUAUUAGUUAGCCAAAUUAAGCUAAUAGAGAUUGUUGGAUAAAAUGUGUUUAACGUUAACCCUUAAGAGUUUUGAUGAUAACAAAGUAUUAAAAAAAUGUCAAUUGGAUAUGUUAAUAUUUGUUCAAGUGUACAUGACUAUAGACAAAAAUUUGACAUCUUAAGAAGGUAUUGGAAGAACAAAUAAAGAGCAAAUACAUCAACAAAAAGGGAAGCUUAAAGCGUCUGAAGAAAACUGCUCCUGAAAAUAAAGCGCUCCUGAAGAUAAAGUGUUCCUGAAGUGAUGACAUCAUCAUAAGCAAGUUCAUCAGAAGCUAAGAAUCACCAAAAGUUGUUUAACGGAUUCAAACUUGUCUAAAGAUCGCAGAAGACUUGAAAAGUGAAGCAACGGCUAUUUUGGAAGGAUUUGAAGGCAUUGAAUGCUUAUUCUUCAAAGAGCGUUGACGUAGUACGUUUGUACAAAGUGUACAACCACUACCUCCACUACUCUGUUUUGUCUCUGCUACAAGACAAGAAAAACAGCUCGGCCUGCAAAGAUGUUCCUUCUCAAUUGGAAUGUAUUUUGAAAUUGAUCUUUCAUAGGACAAUAACCAUAUCAGGCAAAGGAUCAUUGAUCAAAAGUUUCAAACGACUCUAUUUUGAAUGUGCUGACAAUUCAACGUCUCUUUCACACCUCUAUAUAAAGGAGUGAAGACAUAGAGUUUUACAAGAACAAUACCAAGAAUUAACUAUGUUGAAACUCUGUUGAAAUUGUUCUGCAUUCAAAGUUCACUUAUAAUUUCUAUCAAAGCUCAUAUAUUAGAUAUUCUAGUGUCUUUAGAGUCUGUAUCUGAUUUGUACUGUGAACACCACUGAUUGUAUAUCAAGUGUUCAACCUCAAACAUUUUUCUUGGAAUUCUGUUUGAAUUAAGAAGUCUCUUGCAGUUGUGCUUGAGCAAUAGAAGUCUCUUGAUUGUGUUUAGGAGCAUAGGAAAUCUCUUGCAGUUGUGCUUGAGCAUUUGAAGUCUCUUACUAAAUUUAGUAGUGAGCAAUUGUAAUAAGAUAUUACAUAAUGAACUCUCCUUUAAGAGAUCAGUUUCAGAAAACUUUAACCACCAAUCUAAUAGAUGAUUAUGGUGAAGAUUGAUAGGUAAAGUUUCAGAAAGUUUCAAACUACAAAACAACAUCAAUGCGCAAUUUAAAUAAGUAACUGAAAUUUAUAGAUCAAUUUUUUCAAUCAUAAUAUAACCAAGGGUCUCUAAAUUAUAUCUCAGUUACCCAAGUAGGUAUUUUAUGUCAAGAUUUAACUCUAAAUGUCUAAUUAGUUUUUUUAAUUUUGAUUUAUUUGUUAUAAAAGAAACCAUGCAUUGGAUCUUAGAUGUCUAUUGUAAGUUAAAGUCCAAAAGAUGUCAUGCAAGGCAAAACCAAAAUAAUCAUCUGAUCAAAAAGUAAGUCUUGGACAACAGAGUGAACAAAAGCAUCAUAUGGCACUAUAAUAUCAUAAAACCAACCCUUGCAAAAUAAGUCAAAGACUAUAAACAAGUUGCUGCCUCUGGUUUGUUAAAUCAAGUGUCUCUAGUUGUAUGUGUUGUCUACAUCUAAUCAAUCAAGUUUAUCCUUUAGUCAAAACUAUGUAAAAGUCAACCUCUGAUGUAAGAAUCCUUCAAAGACCAAGAAAUAUACUUUUGGAGAAGUUUUCAUGUGAAGAAACCAAAUAAAGGAGUGUGUGUGCUUAAAGAACACAAAGUGUGUGCUCGUGAUUUUCGGAUAUCAAACCAUUAAUUGAUUUUAAUCGUUAAUCUUUGAACUUUCGAUUUUUAUUCGUGGGAAGGGAAAAAAUGAGUAAAAACCCUCAAGACUUUGGAUUCGGGAGCUGGUUACGCGAAGGGAAAGUGCUAGCACCCUAAGCGUCUACGGUAUUCCGUAGAAACCUCUUACCUAGAUUAUCUUGUGCUAAAUUCAUUUGGGUACUUGAAAAAUUAUUACCUAAAAAUCUAAGUGAAAGAAUGGAGAGAAAAGAAAUAUGUUUUUGAUUAUUUUUAUUUGAUUUGGAAAACAAGUGUCCUCUGCCUACGUACCCGUGAGGGAUCAAAACCUCGUAGUUCGGGGUAGAAAUUGGCGUUUGAUUGGUUUUGUGUUUUUUAUAUGUUUUGAAAAAAGGUUUUAAAAUGAAAAGUCAGGUGGCAAAUGAGAAUGUGUUUGUGUUUUUUAUAUUGAAAAAUAAUAGACUCAAAGUAGAAUUAAGUUGAUUGAAAAUUUGAUUAAGAAAAAUAAAAUAAAAAAAGACGGUUACUUGAUUGAAAGUCAAGGUUUGUUAUAAAAAUAUUUUUUUGUGAUUUUUUGAUAUGUGAAUGUUUUUGCUGUUUUUGAAUAAUGAAUGAAAAUUAAACUAACAGAGCAAUAAAAGCAUAUGACCAUAGCACUCUGGAGAAUGAUUAAAUUAAACAAAAAUAUAAUAUUAACAGUUAAUUGAGGACCAGAGCACUCUGGAUUAAUUUAAUUAACAAGGACCAGAUUGUCCUGGAGAAUAAUUAAAUUAAACAAUAAUAUAAUGUUAACAAUUAACUUAGGACCAGAGCACUCUGGAUUGAUAGAAAGAGAAUUAAAAUGCAUGAAAAAGAAAUAAAAAUUAGAUGCUGGGGGGUAAGCAAGAAAUAAAGGGGGGGUGCAAGAACAAAAUAGAAAGAAAACAGAGAAAAGGAAAGGGCCAAAGCGCAAGGCCCAGUAGAGUAUUGGGCUUAAAGCAUACCGGUUUGAGGUCCGGUUCGAUUCAACGUGGGGGAGUAUAAAAGUAUGUUCCCUGGUUUCUUCUCUCAUUCUUAAAACAACAUUCUCUCUCUAAACCAAAAUCCUCUCCCUUCUCUCAAAAAAAAAAAAACUCUGAAAAAACACAAUGAAGAUCUUCAUCUUCAACCUUUCUCCGGCGCGGUGGCUUGCCACCCUAGGGUGGCGGCGCCACCGCCGGAGUUCACUCCAAACACCCCUUUUCAAAGACAAAUACACAUUUUAAACUUCCUUUUUCAUUUUAAACCCAAAUCCGGCCUUAGCUUUUUGAAAUUCGGCCUCCAAAACCCUAGAUCUACAAAACAAACACCAACUACAAACUCUUCACACACUAUUCCGAACACAAAUACGAAUAUAGAACAGGAUAGAUCGAAGCAAAAGAGAGGUGAAGUGAUGUUACCUUUGUUAGAUCGGAGAAAAAAACUUUAGAAAUGGAAAACUUCAAGAUCCGAAAAACUUCACUUGUUUUUACUUCUUUUCUUCUUUGUUUGGCUCGAAAAUGUUGAUUUUGGUGAUGAAAAAUUCCCGUCUGGAUUAUAGUGAAGAAAACCGGUUCGGUUUUGGGCUAGACCAAUUCGGUUUAGUGUUUUUUGGUGUUUAUGUGAUGAUUCGAAAAUUGCUUGCAGUUAUUGUUGUGUUGAAAAAUUUGCUACGGCUGGAAUUUUCUAGUUGGUUUCUUUCCUUUUUUUUGCUGAUUGGUUGUUGUUAUAUUUAUAGAGCUGGAUUAAGAUUUUGUUGCUUGAAGAGGAACAUGACAGACAGUUUUGUGGCUUGGAGAGGAAGUGUGGCAAGCUGUCGUGGCUUGGAGAGGAAGGGUGGCAAGCUGUUUUGGCUUGUUUUCACUUUGGGUAUUAUCGGACAAAAUUUUGACAAUAAUAAAAAUAAUAAUAAGAAAAUACUUAAGGACUAAAAUUUAAAACAAUUGAAAUGUUAAAGAAAAAGAAAACAUGUCACGUGAGUGACAAAAGGGAAGUAAAGAGAUCAUAAGAAAAAAAGAAACGUGAGUAAUAAAAAGGAAACAUGAAUUAACUAAUAAAAAGAAAUAAAAGGAAAUAACAAUAAUUACUAAAGGUGUAAUGAAUAAUAAUAAACAAAAUUAAAAUUGUCCCUUUUGGAAUCAAAUGAGGCUUUUAAAAUAAGAAUAAAAGGGGUAAUAUCAGAUAAGAAUGGUCAAAAUUUGGGGUAUGACAGUGUGUUAUCGUGUGCCAAUACAUAAUAUGUUCAACACCGUAACUCAACGGACCUCAUUUAAUUUGGGAAAGACUAGUUUUUUCCCACCAUGGAAAAACAAGUUUCAACCAUUAAAUUAAAUGAAGAAUACAGUCAUAUCAUACUCCCUCAAUACUAUAUUGUUCUCCCUUUCUCUUCAACCUCACAAUAACCGAUUUCUCACUUUCUCUCUCUAACUCCUCCUCCUCUCCUCUCUCUCUUCCAAUUGCAUCAUUAUAACCACCACACCAUCAUGUUUAACACAUAGAUCUCCCUCACUCUUUCUACAUUUUGUGAUAAUUUGAUUAUUUGAUCAAAGAUUGAUAUGGUUUUGGAUUUUUUUAAAUUCUUAUCUCUCUCUUAUUUUAUGGUUUUGGAUUUGAUUUUUCACCAUGUUUGAUUAUACUACUGGAUUUGUUCAUUUGUAUUCCAUGUUCCAGUUCCUUCAUGGGUCCACUUGUUCCCCACUCUUUCUUCCCAAUUGCCGCAACUGAUGCUUCCAAAGAUCUCAUAUACUGUUUGAAAAAUGAGUUAUUUUGGUUAAUUAAUAGCUAGCUAUUUUGUAUUAAGAUGAAAAUAAUGAUGAAAAAGAUUAACAGUCAUAUGUUCUGGAUAGAGAAACUAGGAAACCAAAAGGUUAUGGAUUUUGUGAGUAUAAGGAUGAAGACUAAAAUAAAAGAUGAUUCUUUUAAUAUUGAUAUAGAAACCACAUAUAAGUCUAAUGGUAUUGUAUAAGUGUGGAAUUAAAGAAAAAUGGAGGUGUGAGAUCGUGUAACUGUUACGGUAGAAGCUACAAUUAUUAUGGUUAGAGGUUGCUUUGCUUCAAGAGGAAAAGACACAAAGGUAGGGGGAGAAGGGUGGUGGUGGAAGAUGAUGUGGGAAAGAUCUAGUGCUGAGAGACCAUAAUAACAUUGUGUUUCCUAUUUAAUCUAAUGGUCAAAAACUAACUUUCCCAUGGUGGGAAAAAACUAGUCUUUCCCAAAUUAAACCCCACCUAACUCAACAACUCUCCAUAGUGAGUGAAACCACAACACAUAAAAAAUCUGAAGAACAUGUGUCUCCCACUAUAGAAAGAUAGCAAAGAGUGUGUGUCAAAGCGAAUAUCUAAGAGAUAUAUCAUACUAUGGCUAUAUAAAAAGAGAUAAAAAAAAUGCGUGAACACAUGUCUGUAGAAUCUGCUCAUAACCUUGAGAGAUUAGAAAACUAAUGUCAAUUAAUGAAUAACCUAUGGUAUUUUAUUUAUUUAUAGAAAAAGAGCUUGUAAAAGGUUGUUCAUAUAUUAUAUCCUCUCAACUGAAAGUGAUUAUAUCAUAUUGUACAUCAAUCAAAUUGUAUUAUUACACUUGUACUGAUGUAUAAUAUAUUGAAAUGUGAUAUCCUAUCAAGAUGAGAGUAAUCGAAACAAUCUCUAAUUUUGUAUCACACAUAUACAAAUUACAAACUCAUCCUAUGUUGUAAUUGAUUGGUUAGUGACAACAACCUCUUAUCCAAAAAGGGUUUGAAAAGAUCGAUAUUAAAUAUUUGACUCCUCAAAGGACUCAGGUGAGCAAGAAUCUUUGAGAAGACGAAGUUGAUUCAGACCAAGUCAAAAAAUUUGCUUGAUGAAGCCAUGAUGAUUGAGAAGGAAAUGACUUGGGAAUCAAAUAUCUAGAAGAAAAUCUGAUGUACGACCAGUUUGCAAGUGAUUGUAAUCGAAUGAUUAUAGUGAAUUAAGUCUUCGACUGUAGAGAGACAAAUUCUGUCCGCAGACGAGACUAAAGGCAGCUGUCGGUCAGAUUGUGAACCAAUAUAAAACAUAAUGUGUCUUUAUGAUUGAACUCAUGUUUUUUUUUUUUAAUAAAUGGUUUAACUCAUAUUGUAAUUGAAGGUGUGAAAAACACAAGAAGGGGGGUUGAAUUGUGUUUUCUUUUUCUCUCAAAAAAAUUACCUCUUCUGAUAAAACUUUAGAAGCAGUUUGUUAAUGCUUCUGAUGAAAUGAUCAGAAUCAGAUAUGCAGCGGAAAAGAACAGAGCAGAGAAAAGAAAGACAAAGACACAGGCAGUUAUCCUGGUUCCUUCCACAAAUCGGAAGUAGUCCAGUCCCCCUUGCACUUCCAAGGAGAUUUCACUAUAAUCACAAAGAUUACAAAUGCUCAAUACUCUCUAAGUAUGAAACUUCUCAAAAAUGCUCAAGCACACACGCAAGAGUCUUCCAAUGCUCAAGCACUAAGCAAGAGACUUCUAAUGCUCAAGCACACAGGCAAGAGACUUCUGAUCAAACAAAAAUACAGAGAAUUAAGUUUGACUUGAACACUUGAUAUACAAUCAGCGGUGUUCUCAAUAAAAAAACAAUAAAGACUCUAGACUUUGAAUUUCUAAGAUGUAUCAAAUCAGUGCAGAAAUUCAGUGUGCUUUGUAGAAUCAAAUUGACAGAGUUUUGGCGCUUUUUAACUUAUGUAUAUCUCUCUACAAUCUUCAAGUCUUCACUCCUUUAUAUAGAGGCGUGAAAGAGACGUUGAGAUAAUCAGCACGUCUAAAGAGUCGUUUGAAAUCCUUUGAUCAUUCACCAGUAAUCCUUUGCCUGAUUUGGGUGUAGUCCUUUGAAGAAUUAGCUUCAAAUUCAUUCCCAUCUUGAAGGCACAAAUUCUGCAGGCAUAGCUGUUGUCUUGUCUUGUAGCGUGGACAAAGCAGAGUAGUGGAGGUAGUGGUUGUACACUUGUACUUUGUCAACUCUUGUUAACGAAGGACAAAUGCUCAGUGCUAUCCAAAUGACCGUUGAUACCUCUCUUUCAAUUCUUCGUUCUUCUUAGAUAAGAUUGAAAUGAGAAACAGCUACUUUGGAUCUUCAGUUUGAAUUUACGGAUUAAAUGUAGCUUCUGGUGAUGAUUUCGCUUCUGAUGAAAACCUUGCUUCUGAUAACCUUCUGCUUCUGAUGACGUCAUCACUCCAGAUGCACUUCAGCUUCAGAAGCACUUUAGCUUCAGACGCAGUUUUCUUCAGAUGCUUAGAAUUUCUUUUUCUUUCCAUUGUUCUUCCAAGACCUAUUGAAAUAACUUGACUAGCCUUUGGUCCUGUACACUUGAACAAUUAUUAGCAAUAACCAAUUGACAAUUUUUAAUACCUUGUUAUCAUCAAAACUUAUUAAGGUUCAUUGUGAAACACAUUUUGUUCCAACAGUAAUAUCUUCAAGGGAUAAACAGCUAUUUGCACAAUUUACACAACUUAACUCAUGAUGUUUUUUUGUUUGUCUAUGAUCUGUAAUUCAGAACGAUAACUUAAGAGAAAGUAAAACCAAUACACCAACUAUAUUAGUCACAAGCAACAAGACUACAUAAUUUUUCAUAAUUCAUUAACAUUAAAUCAAUUCGACAUUUCGUUAACAACUUAACACCACACAACUCCCCCUUUCUUCCUCUCUAUCUUCUCUCCUUCUCAAACCCUAGCCGUCACCCUUUUCUUCUUCUUCUUCUUUUUAGAGGGGUGAUUUAGGGUUAAUUUUGACUCAAAAAUCACCUCUCCAAAUUGUUUUUCCUUCUUUCCUAAUUUAAUAAGUGAUUUCACAUAUUUUCUGUUUUCUUUCGUAUGUUUUUGUGAUUUCGUCGUCUCUGAACGACUUUGUUUGUUUUGAUUUCACGUCUUUGUGCGGUGUGUUUUUUAUUUGCCGUCUUAGUGCGAUGUUUAUUUGAUUUAUGUUGAAAGAUUAGCUUUGAGCAAGUGCAGAUCCGAUCAACGACAAUGACUUUGGCGUCGUCAACGUUGCACAUCCGGAUACAUGAGUAUUCCAGAUACAUAAAUAUAGUCAUAUUAAUCAUAUUUGUAGGCAUAUGUACUUUGCCGUUUUAUGCUAUCAACAUGGAUGUUGUGAGUUUGUUCACAAAUUCAUUAUUUUUGUUUUUAGCGAAUUUGUAUUGUAUCAAUGUAUUUUGUCAAUUUGAAUGAAUGAAUAUUGUUUAUUUUUGUGAAAAAAAAACUUAACACUACACAAAUGUUUAAAAUUCAACCAAAGUGAAGCAUUAGACAACACAUUACACAACAAUACAUGAAUAAAGUUAAAAAGCUCAUAAAAUGACAUCAAAUCUCUACUGGUAAUCUAAGCAGCUGCAGUUGGAACGAACACAUAGAUAUAACCUAUUAUUUUCAACCACAGACCUAAACAUAUAUUCUACGUCACUAUCAUCAUGAAUAACCAGAUGAUAAUAAACUGUUUUUCACACGUCUUCAUCUUUAUCCGCCCCCAUAUCUACACAUGGUACUUGUACAAAUACAUAAGAUGUAGUAUGAUUUUCACCAAGAUAGGCAAAAUAUUUGUUAAGUUGUGUCUUCAACUCAUCCAUUAUGUCGGUUAGAGUUAAAAAAACUUUAAUCGUCUUCUUGAAAGCGGAAUAUCAUACAUGAGUUUCAAUUUAUGCAUCUUCAUACUUGUUUAACUUUACAGAAGUUUAUGAAAUAACAAAUAUUAGAAUAAAAUAAAAUGAAAGUUAAAAUAGAUUAUUGUAGAAACAUAGACUUUUAUUUAUAUAUUAAAUACGGAAAAUUAAUAACCAAGAAAACCGAUGGUGCUUUGUCCACUCUUUACUCGAUCUAUCUUGUUUCUCACAUGAAUUGAUCAACAAAAACAUCAUUUUGUUUUCAAAAAAAGUUUUUAUUUAUUUUCUUAAAUAAAUAAUUUUUAAACCAUAAAGAUUAGAAAGAAGACAUUUUGUUCAGCUUCCUAAAAAGGAAUUAAUAAUAAUAUUUUGUAGAAAAAAAGAAGCCAAAAGAGCAACAAGUUAAACAGAAAGGUGUAUUUGGGUUUACAUUACAGAGUUGAAUGAAAGAACUGAACUUCACCAAGGAACAUAAAUGAAAUGAGAGAUGCAAGGCCUUCAACAACAACAACAGCAACUAGCUUCACUUCUCUCCGCCGCUCUCCCCAACCUCAACAAAGACUCCUCCGAUGACCCCUCCUCUCGCCUCGCCGCUCUCAACUCCCUCCAUCGCGCCAUCCUCCACCCUCACAACUCCCUACUCAUCUCUCACUCCGCCUCUUUCCUCUCCCAAAAUCUCUCUCAACUCCUCUCCGACAAGUAACCCUAAUUCCCUCCUCUCCUCCUUCUUUAUUCAAUUCAUUAUCUGUCAUGUCAAGCACUAACACAGACACAAGUUUACACCGGACACAGACACCUCUACACAGGUGUCCGUGUAGUUUAUUAUUAUUGUUAUUUAUUUUUAUUUUUUUAUUUUAUUUUAUUUUUGUUGUGAAAUUCUGUUGCAGAUCGUUUGAGGUGCGUCAAGCGGCGGUUACAGCACACGGAGCACUGUGCGGUGUAAUCUGUUCAAUUCCUGUCAACUCUAACGGCCGUCAGAAUCAUGUCAUACUCAACACUUUGGUUGACCGUUUCAUCGGUUGGGCAUUACCGUUACUCAGCAAUGUUACUUCCACUGAUGCUACAAAGGAACUCGCGCUACAAGGUUUGCGCGAGUUUCUUAACGUCGGUGGUAAUGAACGGUAUGCUUUACCUAUUCUCAAAGCGUGCCAGGCGCUUUUAGAAGAUGACAGAACUUCGUUAGCGUUACUUCAUGCGAUUUUGGGGGUGAUAACAUUGAUUUCGUUGAAGUUUAUUAGGUGUUUUCAGCCACAUUUUCAUGAUAUUGUUGAUCUUUUACUUGGUUGGGCUUUGAUGCCGGAUCUUGCGAAAUCGGAUAGGAGGGUUAUUAUGGAUAGUUUUUUGCAGUUUCAGAAGCAUUGGGUUGGUGGGUUGACAAUGUCUUUGAGGUUGCUUACUAAGUUUUUGGGGGAUAUGGAGGCUUUACUUCAUGAAGGAAUUUCAGGGACACCGCAGCAGUUUCGGAGGCUUUUAGCUUUGCUUUCAUGUUUUUCAACGAUUUUGCAGUCUACUGCUUCGGGUUUGCUGGAAAUGAAUAUGCUUGAGCAGAUAAUUGAACCUCUUAACGGGUUGCUUCCGAGAUUGCUUAGGUGUUUGCCUUUGAUUGGGCAGAAAUUCGGAUGGUCUGAAUGGAUUGAAGAUUCUUGGAAAUGUUUGACUUUAUUAGCUGAAAUAUUGCAGGAACGGUUUUCGAGUUUUUAUUCUCUUGCACUUGAUAUAUUGUUUCAGAGCUUGGAAUAUCAGACUGGGUUUGGGAAGAUUAGCUCUGUUCAAGUUCAUGGUGUUCUGAAAACUAAUCUCCAGUUAUUGUCCUUGCAAAAACAUGGCCUUCUCCCGUCGUCUGUGCGGAAGUUAUUGAAGUUUGAUGCACCGGUUUCUCAGCUGCGAUUGCAUCCAAAUCAUUUGGUGACAGGAAGUUCUGCAGCUACCUAUGUUUUCUUGCUUCAGCAUGGGAAUGCAGAAGUUGUUGAUGAAGCGGUCGCCUUAUUGAUUGAAGAACUUGAGCUGUUGAAGAGCGUGAUAGGAAAGGAUACCGAUGAUUCCGAUCAGUUCAAUUUCGAUAUAGAUUCUAAAACAUUUUCGAAACUUGAACUGUUUGCGGUGAUCAAAUUUGAUUUGAAAGUUCUAUUAGCAUGUGUUUCCAUGUCAGGGGAUAGCAGUUUGAUUGGCCAAACAGAAAGAGCUACAUUGUAUCUUACGAGGUUGGAAAAGUUGCUGUCCUUUAUCACGGAAAAGAUGGACCCUUUUGAGUUGCCCAUUCAGGCGUUCAUGGAGUUGCAGUUCGCUGCAGUCAAGACAUUGGAGAGGCUAAAUUCAGUUGAGUUCUUAAUUAAGUGUUCCCUAAGAGAACAUAACCGUGAUGAAGAUUCUGUUGAGUUUCAAGCUAAAAAGGAGGAUGAUGACGAUAAAUUCUGUGAUGGGUUUUCUGCCGUGAUUACUGAGAAUUUGGAAAAAUACAGCAAAUUCCUUGUAAAAGCCCUUCAUGUUUCUUCUCCUCUGGCUAUCAAAAUAGCAGCUCUAGAUUGGGGACAAAAGUUGUGCGAGAAUGUUAUAGCUGUUAAUAAGAUCGCAAGCACAAAAGGCUUCUCUUAUGAAUCAUGUGGAAAUGCUGGUGUAAUCAUGAACUUGGUUUUCUCACUUUUAGGUGGUACAUUUGAGAGGGAACCGGAAGUAAGAUCAAAUGUUGCAAUAACCUUGGAGAUGUUUAUACAAGCAAGGCUUUUGCAUCCUGUAUGCUUAUAUCCCUUAGCUGAAGUGAUACUGGAGAAACUUGGGGAUCCAUCAACAGAGAUACAGGAUGCAUAUGUGAGACUACUUUCCCAUAUUUUGCCAACGACCAUAUAUACAUGUGGUCUCUAUGAUUACGGGAGAUUUAGACCUGUUGAUCUCGGGUUUGGCAACACUACAAAGAUGCACUGGACACAAUUAUUCGCCCUGAAGCAGCUGCCACUCCAACUUCAAUCACAACACCUGGUGUCAAUCUUAAGUUACAUUUCACAAAGAUGGAAGGCACCUCUUUCUUCUUGGAUCCAGCGCCUCGUUCAUAGUUGCCAGAGUUCAAAGGAUGCUAUUUCAAAUCAGCCUGAAGAAACAGGAAAUUUUGGUGCUAAUUGUCCGUGGUUGGAUAUACAAGUGGAUGAAGGCAUGCUUGAAAGAGCAUGUUCGGUCAAUAAUAUAGCUGGUGCCUGGUGGGCUGUACAGGAAGCAGCUCGGUACUGUAUUUCUACACGUCUUAGGACAAAUCUUGGUGGGCCUACCCAAACAUUUGCUGCUCUAGAGCGCAUGCUGUUGGACAUUGCACACCUUUUGCAACUUGAUAAUGAGCAAAUUGAUGGGAACUUAAGCAUGAUAGGGUCUUCUGGUGCUCAUUUGUUACCAAUGAGGUUACUGCUUGAUUUUGUUGAGGCUCUGAAGAAAAAUGUAUACAAUGCAUAUGAGGGUUCUGUCAUUUUACCAUCUGCUACCCGUCAGAGUUCUGUAUUCUUUCGGGCCAACAAAAAAGUUUGCGAGGAUUGGUUUUCUCGUAUAUGUGAACCAAUGAUGAAUGCUGGAUUGGCUCUACAUUGCAACGAUGCUGUUAUUCAAUACUGCACACUUCGUUUGCAAGACCUCAAGAAUCUUUCUGUAUCAGCUUUGAAAGAAAAGCCAAGGGCUCAGGUAACUGAUAACCUCCACAAUAUCAGAGGAAGAAAUAAAGGAGACGUCUUAAAAGUUUUAAGACACAUUUCACUAGCUCUUUGCAAGAGUGCUGAACCAGAUUCUUUGAUUGGCCUACAAAAAUGGGUUUCAGCUACAUUUUCCUCCUUACUCGGGGACGAAAACCAGUCCUUCAAUGAGUUUGGAACUGUUGGACCCCUUUCAUGGAUAAGUGGGCUUGUAUAUCAGGCAAGAGGCGAGUAUGAAAAUGCUGCAGCUCACUUUACUCACUUACUGCAGACGGAAGAGUCACUCAGUUCUCUGGGCUCUGAUGGUAUACAGUUUGUUAUAGCACGUGUAAUUGAGAGUUAUGCUGCUGUAUCUGAUUGGGAAUCUCUUGAAUCCUGGCUGCUAGAAUUGCAAUUGCUUCGUGCCAAGUACACUGGUAGAAAUUAUACUGGUGCCCUGACAAUGGCAGGCAAUGAAGUUAAUGCAAUCCAUGCAUUGGCACGUUUUGAUGAGGGUGAUUAUCAGGCUGCAUGGUCAUCCCUUGAUUUGACACCUAAAAGUAAUAGUGAGCUUACCCUUGAUCCAAAAUUAGCCUUGCAGAGGAGCGAGCAGAUGCUUCUCCAAUCGUUGCUCUUCCAGAAGGAGGGAAAGAGUGAUAAGGUGCUUCAUGACUUGCAGAAAGCAAGGUCAAUGUUGGAGGAACCACUUUCUGUUUUGCCCCUUGAUGGGUUAGCCGAAGCAACACCUCUUGCUAUACAGUUGCACUGCAUUUUCCUUGUAGAAGAGGAUCUCAAGCUUAAAUCAACUGAUGAGAAGGCCAAACAACUUCAGUCAUCAAUAAAUUCUCUUCAGCCAUUUCCAUUCUCUAUAAGUAAAAUCCGCCAAGAUUGUAAUCCAUGGCUGAAAGUUCUUCGGGUUUAUCAAACCAUUUCCCCAACUUCUCCGGUUACUCUAAAAUUCUGCAUGAAUUUGCACAGUUUAGCUCGUAAACAAAGAAAUCUAUUGCUGGCAAAUCGUUUGAACAACUAUAUCAAAGAUAACAUAUCUGCUUGCCCAGAGGAGAAACAUCGCAAUCUUCUUGUCUUAAAUUUGCAGUACGAGAGCAUUUUACUGCAGUAUGCUGAAAACAAAUUUGAAGAUGCUUUCACAAGCCUUUGGUCGUUUUUACGCCCUUUUAUGAGUUCUUCAACAUCUAGAAUAUUUGACGUGGAAGAGAGAAUUCUGAAGGCCAGAGCUUGCUUGAAACUCGCUGGUUGGCUACGGCGUGAUUUUUCAGAUUGGAAUCCAGAGAGUACUGUUCGGAAGAUGUUAGCAGAUUUUGAUGUGACUGAAUCAACUUCAAUUGGCAAAGACGUCAAUAAUGAAAAUAUAAACUGUAAACAGAAUUUAGGUUCUAUUAUCGAGGAAAUUGUUGGUACAACAACAAAAUUGUCUUCUCGUAUUUGCCCCACCAUGGGCAAGUCAUGGAUUUCUUAUGCUUCUUGGUGCUUUAAGCAAGCCGGAGGCUCACUCCCUGUUCAGAGUGAAACUACCCUGGAUUCUUGCUUAUUUUCUCCCAUACUUGUUCCAGAAAUUUUGCCUGAGAGAUUCAGACUGACCAAGGAUGAAGUUAAACGAAUCAAGUCAUUGCUUUUGUGUCUUCUUCAGGACAAUAUUGAUAUGGAAGGUUUCAUAGAUGAACAGGAAGAGGAAAGCUCUGGGUAUGAUUCUGCAGAGCACUCAAGUACUGAAAAUCCUCUGCAGAAAUUGGUAACGCAUGUAGUGAAUAUUAUUGAAACCGCUGCAGGGGCACCGGGUGCAGAAAACUCCGGUGGAGAACGCCUUUCAGCCAUCAUAUCUUCUCAAUUAAGGAUCUGUUUGUUAAAUGCAAACCUUGGGCCGGAAGAAUCUGACAUAGUAUCUAUAUUGGAUGAUUUUGUUGAUAUUUGGUGGUCUUUGAGGAGGAGAAGAGUGUCCCUGUUUGGACAUGCUGCUCAUGGUUACAUACAAUAUCUUUCUUAUUCUUCUUCCCAUCUUGGCCAUAGUCAAAUGCUUGGGUCUGAAAAUGAUACUUUCAAGCAAAAAACUGGCAGCUACACUCUGAGGGCUACUUUGUAUAUAUUGCAUAUACUUCUCAAUUAUGGUGUGGAAUUGAAAGAUAAUCUUGAAUCUUCCCUUUUGGUUGUUCCUUUGUUGCCAUGGCAGGUCGCGUGCUAGAUCUUGAACUUUUACUUUUACUUCUAUCAGUUUUAAAGGGAUGCUAGUUUUGCUGAAGUGUUUCAUGAAUUGUUUUUUUAGGAAGUUACACCUCAACUGUUUGCACGUUUGAGUUCUCAUCCCGAAAAAGUGGUUCGGAAGCAGUUGGAGGGUUUGCUGAUCAUGCUGGCCAAGAACUCUCCUUGUUCUAUAGUUUACCCAACUCUAGUUGAUGUCCAUGCUUAUGAAGAGAAGCCUUCAGAGGAGCUUCAUCAUGUGCUGGGUUGUCUGGUAAUGUGAAAAAUUAUGUUUUCAUUUUGCAGCUUGUAUAUAUAUUUUUUUUGACAACAAUUGUUUUCUUUCACAUCAUAUGGAAGUUCUCACCAUGCAACAAUUCAACUAGCAUGACCUGGCCCUCUGGGCAGUGUUUUUUUAGCCAAUCUUUUCAGCGUGAGAAAUGAUUUAGUAGUAUUGAUGUCUGAUAUAUAAUUUAGUAGGUUUUUGGAUAAGAAAUCAUUUGGUUUUGGUAGAAAAAGUAAAACCAAUCACGAGGAUUUACCUAACACCUUUAUUUUCCAUGAUAGUUGGUGUUUAGAGUCCCAUAUUGGAUGUGAAAUCACCUGAAAAAGAGUUUAUAAGUGGACAUCCUUUACCUUGCAAGUUACAAGCCAAUUUUGUGUGAUUGAGUUAGACCCAAACUCAAAUUUUAAGAUGAUAUGGGAGCCUAUUCAAGAUUCGUUCGGCCAUCUGGGUCACACUCCAGAUACAUGAGGCAGUGUUUUAAAAGUCUUAUAUUGGAUGUGAAAUGGUCUGAAAAAGUGUUUAUAAAUAUUGGAUAUCCCUCACAUUACAAGUUAGUUUUGUAGGGUUGCGUUAGACUUAGCCCAAAUUUUUAGAUGAUAUCAGAGUCUAUCCUAAAUAUAUAUGAGAUCAGAUCAAAUGACACCAAGUGUCAAAUUUAUGUUUGACCCCCAAAUCUUAUCAUUUUGUUUAAUCCAACGUUCCGUGACGAUUCACUUAAAGAGUCACGUGUAUGUCUGUUUCCUUACCUAAGAUACACCACCCCCUCAUGUUCCUGUCUCCCGUCGCAUGAGUACACUUAUUGAGUCUCUUGCCUCCAAGUUUUCUAUGUUUGCUCUCGUGAAUAAGGAUUUGUAAUUUUAAUAUUUUGUUUGUCUUUCUACAAUAAUGAGAGGAGAAAAAGAGAGAAAUCAAAAACCGCGAUUGAAUACCAACUAUGAGCAAGAGAAAGAUAGUAGUAACAAGAGUGAAAAAGCUGAUAGUGUGCCCACAAGAGGUCGACAGAAAAGGGGCACAUAAAGGAGAGGAAGAUCAUGGGCUAGAAAUCGGAGGUGAGAUUGCAAAUCACCUCAAAUUUAGUAUUCCAUGAGAGUACCAAACAAACACAUUAAAAUGGAUUGCCAUGUCAUUAGCAAGAAGAUCUUAUUGGGAGACAUUACGACUAGCUUUGUAAAUUCAAAGGACCGAUUGGCAAAUGUCUUCCCCUAUUUCUUUGAGAGAUCCUCAGAUUGAUUACAUAUGUAACAAGCUUGGUCCAUAUGAUUUACUCCCUCUGGCCUUCUUUUUAUGCAAAUCUAUCCAUUUGCACACUUAUUAAGAAGUCAAUUUUUGUAUUGAUUUUAUGUAAAAGUUGUGUUACAAUUGCUAAAAUGACCUUAUUUAAUUACUAGCAAUAAACACCAUUUUUUUUUUUGCUUAUAGAUAAGGCUGGAGGGAGUAUAUGCUUUAGCUUGAGGGGAGUGUUAGAAUUAUUGUAAAUAGGAUAAAUAUCCUGUUACAACAGUUAUGGAAAUUUUAAAUCCUUGUAUUUAUAACUAGAUUUAAUAUUCUGCUGUGUGUAAUUAGAUAUACGAAUUCUCACUUGCUUUCUGGUCUCCUUCUCAACAUUCUUAAUUAGGAAUGAGUUUCAUAUAAAGGGAUAAUGAAAUCUUGCACUGUUCAUGCUUCAAGCCCAAAAGGCUCUUGCAUGAAAUGGUUUGUAAAGAUAUAAAACCAGUUAUGGCUUUACGUAACAACGUCAGUUUUUAGAAGAGUUGGAUGGUGAUAGUUUUAACUCGGAAAUGGAACUGCUACACCAAAUGUCAAAUUUAUCUCUUGAUCUUUCUGUGAGUCUUAGGUCCCAUUGAACUUGAAAUAAUUUUGUUGGUUUAGUAAAGAGGUUCUGUGAGUCUUAGGUCUGCGAGUAUUGGGUCCUCAAAUGAAUUUGAAGUGUUAGUGGGUUACACUGAAUGUCAUCAUAAGUGACUCGGCAUACUUAUCAAAUUAUGCACUACACACUACUUAGUCUGAAAUGGGAUUUCGGAUAAGCAAGUGGAUAUCAGUAUGUUUUUCAGCUGAUUGAGCAUUUCAAUGGGUACUCGUUUGUUUGACCAGGCUUCUUUAUCACAACACACAUUAGUUUGAAUGAUACGUCAAUUGAAGUCAUUGAUUUUAUACUGACUUUAUCUUAGCUUGCUUGGCCAAAGUAGCAUGUAGGAUGAUCAGUUUUUGUUUCAUGCAGAGGGAGCUUUACCCUAGAUUGGUUCAGGAUGUUGAACUGAUGAUAAAUGAGCUAGGAAAUGUUACUGUUCUCUGGGAGGAAUUAUGGCUCAGUACUCUUCAGGAUCUUCACACAGGUUUUUUUCCUUAUUUUCCAAUAUUUCAUUGCUCUUGGAAUACCUUUUUAUUGAUCUAGAUUGAAGAAUUAUUGACUCUUUUUAAUGUUUGAUGAAUGAAUUUCAUCUUUUCUUUUUAUUGUACAAUUUGGAUUUUCCUGUUGGUGAACAGAAAUGGGGCUAACUAUAUUUUGUUGCAGAUGUGAUGAGGAGAAUAAAUGUACUUAAAGAGGAGGCUGCAAGAAUUGCAGAAAAUGCCACACUUAGUCACAAUGAAAAGAGAAAGAUUAAUUCUGCUCGUUAUUCUGCAAUGAUGGCUCCAAUAGUUGUGGCUUUGGAACGUCGUUUGGCUUCAACUUCUCGAAAACCUGAGACUCCUCAUGAAGCUUGGUUCCAAGAAGAGUAUAAAAACCCACUGAAAUCAGCUAUUAUAUCCUUCAAGACUCCUCCAUCAUCUUCUUCAGCUCUCGGGGAUGUAUGGCGACCUUUUGAUAGUAUUGCUGCAUCCUUGGCUUCUUACCAGAGGAAAUCUUCAAUUUCCUUACAAGAAGUUGCACCACGCUUGGCUCUGUUAUCAACUUCAGAUGUUCCGAUGCCAGGUCUUGAGAAACAAAUGAAAGUACCUGAUUCCGGCAAAGCAACUGAUCUUCAAGGGGUUGUUACCAUUGCUUCUUUCCUCCAACAAGUCACUAUCUUAUCAACAAAGACUAAGCCUAAGAAACUUGGUAUUCUUGGUUCGGAUGGUCAAAAGUAUACAUAUCUCCUUAAAGGACGAGAAGAUUUGCGCCUUGAUGCCAGAAUUAUGCAACUCCUUCAGGCUAUAAAUGGUCUGUUGAUUUCUUCUUCUUCCACACGCAGCAAAUCUCUUGGCAUUCGAUAUUACUCUGUGACUCCAAUCAGUGGCCGGGCUGGGCUAAUCCAAUGGGUGGAUAAUGUAGUCAGUAUUUACAGUGUAUUUAAAUCUUGGCAAACCCGUGCCCAGCAUGCACAGUGCGUGGCAUUGGGCACUGCAAAUACAAAAUCCUCAGCUCCUCCACCUGUUCCUCGUCCCAGUGAUAUGUUUUAUGGGAAGAUCAUACCUGCACUUAAAGAGAAAGGCAUUAAGAGAGUGAUUUCACGAAGGGAUUGGCCGCAUGAAGUCAAAUAUAAAGUUCUUCUGGACCUCAUGAAGGAGGUGCCUAGACAUCUUCUUCACCAAGAGCUAUGGUGUGCUAGCGAAGGAUAUAAAGCCUUCAACUCAAAAAUGAAAAGGUGUAUUAAUGGAACUUUAAGCCCUUACUUUACUGGUGUAUUUUGUGGUUGCCAUUUAUGAUUAAAAAUCAAUGGUUAAAAUUCAUUGUCUAAAUGUGGAUUUGGUUUUUGGGGAUUUAUUUAUAUAUUUUGGCUUUCCCCUUUAUAUUAUGGGAUUGGAACUGCCUUUAAACAGAGUAAGUUUAGUUCAUCCUACACUUUGGAGGCUUGCGAUUCUUUCAUUACAUACUAACUUAUUCUUGACAUUAGUUCCUUUAUGUCCUCUCCUCGUAUGAUUAACCAAAUUUGUCUUUAUCUUCUUGUUAUCAUUUUGUGGCAAAUACAAAAUUCUGUUUGUAACUAUUCUAUUUGAAAGUGUUUCCAAACCCUAUGUUGUUGUAAAUUUAUCAUGAUUGUCUUGUUUUCUUCAAUCUGUAGGUAUUCUGGAAGCCUUGCUGCAAUGAGUAUGGUUGGUCAUGUUCUGGGACUGGGUGACCGACAUUUAGACAACAUUCUUAUAGAUUUUUGUGGUGGGGAUAUUGUACAUAUUGAUUACAAUGUGUGUUUUGAUAAGGGACAAAGACUAAAAAUUCCAGAAAUCGUUCCUUUCCGUCUUACACAUAUGAUUGAAGCAGCUUUAGGACUUACUGGAAUAGAGGGUACCUUCAGAGCAAACUGUGAGGCAGUUAUUGGCAUUCUAAAAAAGAACAAAGACACACUUUUGAUGUUACUAGAAGUGUUUGUUUGGGAUCCACUUGUGGAGUGGACACGGGGUGAUUUUCACGACGAAGCUGCAAUUGGUGGUGAAGAAAGGAAGGGCAUGGAGUUGGCUGUUAGCUUAAGUCUAUUUGCAUCUCGAGUGCAGGAAAUUCGCGUUUCCCUACAGGUACAUACUGAACUAAAAGCUAUAUAUAUGUAUAUGCAUUCUACAUAAGGAAGUAUGUUUGAUGUGGCCUGACAUAAUUAGAUGAGUGGUAUUACAAACUUUGAUUUAUAGUGUGUUUGGAAAGUCAGGUUUUCUGUGGUGUGACCAUGUGGUAGCAUGAAGCUAUGCCUGUAAGACUAAGGCUAUAGAACUAUUAAGUUUUUAUAUUGGGCCUAACACAACCCUACAAAGCUGGUUUUGUAAGAAUGAGUUAGGCCCUAUAUAAAAACUUAAUAUGGUAUCAGAGCCUAUUGAUUUGGGUCAUCCAUUAUUUAUAUACACGCACCAAGCCCAAUAGUGCUGGGCGUGAGGGGAAGUCCCACAUAGAUUAAAGAUAAGGCCUGGCUAGAGUUUAUGAAGAGUGGCACCUCUCACCUUACAAACUAGUUUUGUGGGGUUGUGUUGGACCCACCCACAAAUUCUAAGAAGAACGGUGGAAGUGAAGCAAGCACAUCGUUAAGAUAUACUUUUGAGUGCUAAGACAAAUGUGUGCAUCCACAUAUUACAUGAUAUAGUUUUAUAACUUGCAUGUGUUUAAAAUAAAUAUGCAUGUAUUUUCGUAUUUGAAUUCUUCGUUUGUACCUUCAAUUAGCAAAUCCUGGGUAUGAAAAUUGUUGUAAUUCAACUUAUCUAGGUGUUUAUAUAUUUUGUAAUACUUUCAUGGUUUCUAAAACAUUAUUAAUAGUUUUUUUUUUCUUUCCAAAAUCUGAGUAGGAGCACCAUGAUCAAUUACUGACUAGCCUGCCGGCUGUCGAAUCUGUACUUGAGGUAAUGAUGAAAUAAAUACCAUGAAUUUUUUGGCUACAUUUAGAUCACGGCUUUGGUUAUUCAUAUUUCUCAGAUAAAUUAUUUCUUUAUUUGAAUUGACUUUAAGAACUAUGUACCAGAGGUUUGCCGAUGCUCUAAAUCAAUACGAGAUUGCCUCUUCUAUAUACCAUCAAGCUGACCAAGAGAGGUCUAGUCUUACAUUACAUGAGACAUCUGCUAAGUCGAUUGUUGGUGAAGCAACCCGGAAUUCAGAGAAAAUUCGGGUUUCGUUUGAAAUUCAGGCUCGGGAAUUUGCACAAGCAAAGGCUAUGGUUGCUGAGAAAGCUCAGGAGGCAAUGACUUGGGCUGAGCAACAUGGAAGGAUUCUUGAUGCUUUACGAUGCAGCUUAAUACCAGAAAUAAGUUCUUAUUUUAAGCUGAGUGACAUAGAAGUUGCCUUAUCUCUUACAUCUGCAGUUACUUUAGCAGGUGUUCCACUAACUGUUGUUCCUGAGCCAACACAGGUACAAUGCCAUGAUAUAGAUAGGGAAGUUUCUCAAUUCAUAGCUGAGUUGGAUGAUGGACUAACUUCUGCCAUAACUUGUCUGCAAGCGUACUCCUUGGCUCUGCAAAGAAUUCUACCAUUAAAUUACCUUUCAACUAGUGCGGUACAUUGCUGGGCUCAAGUUCUUGAAUUAUCUGUCAAUGCCCUGUCAUCUGAUAUUCUCUCUCUUGCCAGAAGGCAGGCUUCUGAACUUUUUGCAAAAUUUCAUGUAGAUAGCACUGAUUCCAUCAAACGCAGUUAUGAUGAUCUUUGUCUUAGAGUGGACAAGUAUGCUCUAGAAAUAGAAAAGUUGGAAAAUGAGUGUACUGAAAUAGAAAGUUCUAUAGGCUUAGAGUCAGAAUCGAUAACUAAGGAUCAUCUUUUGUCAGCUUUCAUGAAAUUCAUGCAAUCCAUGGAUCUUUUGAGAAGGGAAGGUGGAAUGUCUUCCGUUCAAUCUAGAUAUGAUGGGACAAACAGUACUAGACUUUUAGGUGAGCUAGAAGAGGAGAGGGAGAAAGUACUAACAAUUCUAAAUAUUGCUGUAAGUUCAUUUUAUAAUGAGAUUAAGCAUAGAGUACUCAAUAUAUAUAGUGAUUUGUCAGGAGGAAGAAAUCAAUACAAUAUGUUGCGGAAUGAUUAUGGAACUAUUUUUGCUUGGUUUGAAGAACAAGUAGAAAAAUGUAAUCUCCUGACAGAAUUUGUCAAUGAUCUAAGGCAAUUCAUUGGAAAGGAUAUCUCUUCUAUUGAUCAAAACAAAGAUAAUUCAAAGUUUUCAUCUGAAAGUAAUUGGGUUUCCAUUUUCAAAACCAUUCUGACUUCCUGUAAGGGAUUGAUUAGUCAAAUGACUGAAGUUGUUCUGCCAGAUGUGAUACGAUCCGCAGUUUCAUUAAAAUCUGAAGUUAUGGAUGCAUUUGGGUUGAUCUCACAAGUUCGAGGAUCUAUAGAAACUGCAUUGGAACAGGUUGUGGAGGUUGAAAUGGAGAGAGCAUCACUGUUUGAACUUGAGCAGAAUUAUUUUGUUAAGGUUGGUCUUAUUACUGAGCAGCAGUUGGCUCUUGAACAAGCUGCAGUUAAGGGCAGGGAUCAUCUUUCAUGGGAAGAGGCAGAGGAACUUGCAUCCCAAGAGGAAGCUUGUAGAGCACAACUAGAUGAACUUCAUCAAACUUGGAGUCAGAGGGAUGUAAGGACCUCUUCACUUCUUAAGAGAGAAGCUGAUAUUAAAAAUUCACUAGUUUCGGUGAAAUGUCAAUUUCAAUCUCUAGUUGGCGUGGAAGAAAAAAGCGAGCUACAUAUUUUGAGAAGUAAAGCACUAUUGGCUGCACUUGUUAAACCUUUCUUAGAACUAGAAUCCAGUGAUAUUAUGUUGUCUCCGGCUGAUGGUUCUGUUGCGACUCCCUCAAGUAAAUUUCACACGCUUGCAGAUUUUAUAAAUUCUGGGAAUUCCAUUUCUGAGUAUGUCUGGAAAGUUGGAGGUUUAUUAGAUGACCAUUCAUUCUUUAUUUGGAAAGUAGGUGUUAUAGAUUCUUUUGUUGAUGCAUGCAUACAUGAUGUAGCUUCGUCGGUUGAGCAAAAUUUAGGCUUUGACCAGUCCCUCAAUUUUAUGAAGAAAAAGCUUGAAAUUCAACUUCAGAAACACAUUAGUCAGUAUUUGAAAGAAAGAGUUGCCCCUAGUUUGUUGGCCUGUUUGGAUAGAGAAAUGGAGCACUUGAAACAAUUAACAGAUUCAUCAAAAGAACUCGCUUUAGAUCAGGUGAAAAAGGAUGGGGCUGCAAAGAAGGUUUUACAUAUGCUUGAGGAGUAUUGUAAUGCACAUGAAACAGCUAGAGCAGCAAAGUCAGCAGCUUCUCUAAUGAAAAGACAAGUGAGUGAGUUGAAAGAAGCUCUUCGGAAAACUACCCUUGAGGUAGUUCAGAUGGAAUGGAUGCAUGAUGAUAUUUUGAACCCAUCAUAUAACAGAAGAAUCACAUAUGAGAAGUAUCUUGAUACUGGUGACAGCUUGUAUCCAAUCAUUUUAAAUCUCAGCAGAUCUAAGUUAUUGGAAAAUAUACAAUCUGCCAUUUCAAAAAUCACGUCGUCAACAGAUAGCCUUCAGUCUUGCGAACAACCUUCUCUUAUAGCCGAAGGACAGCUUGAGAGAGCAAUGGGUUGGGCUUGUGGGGGUCCAAAUUCAAGUAGUUCUGGGAAUUCCUCAACUAAAAAUUCAGGAAUUCCUCCCGAGUUCCAUGAACAUAUUAAGAAACGGAGGGAGAUUUUAUGGGAAUCUAGAGAAAAAGCAUCAGACAUUGUGAAGUUAUGCAUGUCAGUAUUAGAGUUUGAAGCAUCAAGAGAUGGGUAUUUUCUUAUACCAGGGCAAUCAUAUCCCUUUAGGAGUGGUGUUGAUAGAAAUACAUGGCAGCAAUUGUACUUGAACUCACUAACAAGAUUGGAUGUUACUUUCCAUUCUUAUACACGUGAGUUUGCAAUAUUCCUCUAUAGUUGACAUCACUUCGCUCCAAUUAAACUUCUGCAUGAAAUUGAACUUUGCUUUCCUGUUCUCGAAAUAGGUACUGAACAAGAGUGGAAGCUUGCACAAUGCACUGUUGAAGCUGCCUCCAAUGGAUUAUAUACUGCUACCAAUGAACUCUGCAUUGCCUCUCUGAAAGCGAAGUCAGCUUCCGGUAGAUCUCAUUGAUCCUGGUUGCUGGUCAAUUGGACAUUGAUGUUCAAACAUGCAUAUGCAUGUUUUAUUUGAUUUUUGGGUGUAGCAGCAUUGUUUCUGCAUAUUUUAAUUUAAUAUGUUCUUUACUUUUAUAUAGGUGAGUUACAAAGCACAGUUCUUUCAAUGAGGGAUUGUGCGUAUGAGGCUAGUGUUGCACUGUCUGCUUUUGCUCAGGUUUCAAGGAUGCAUACUGCUUUAACUUCUGAAUGUGGUUCUAUGCUUGAAGAGGUGCAGUUUCUACAGUAUUUGAUGUUACCUUGUAUUACUAAGGAUUGUAAUUCUGAACUAAUUUUCUUCUUGGUUUACAGAAUUUGAUAUCUAUUGAUGUCUAAUACAUUUAUUGUUUAUAUCAUUAUAUUGUUCUAAAUUUUAAUAUUAACAAGACCAAUUUGAUCAAUCAAUCUAAUAUAGCAUUUGAAUUUUUAAUAUUAAUGUAAUUUGAUGAACUUGUCUCAAAAUCUUCUAGUUAUGUGACACUUACCUGUUAACCAUGUAAUAGUAAAUUAUGAGCCCCCCCACCAAAUAAUCCCAAUUCAUUAAACGGAUUUGGUAUACAAAUAAGAAAAUUUACCCUGAUUACCCAAUCUCCUGUCACCAUAGCUUAAACAGUAUGAUUGAUGUCCAAUUCAUUAAAGGAUUAUUACUGUCUGCAGUUUGCAACACUCCGUAAAAAGUGUAUAAAUAAAUUAGGUGCUGUGUUCCUUUAAUCUCCUUAGGUCUUCAUUCCAUUGAUUGUUUGUUACCUAAAGUUGCUUUGUUAUUGUAGGUUCUAGCAAUAACUGAAGAUGUACACGACGUUUACAAUCUGGGGAAGGAGGCAGCUUCAAUCCACCUUUCUCUCAUGGAAAAUCUUUCAGAGGUUUUUCUUAUCCCUUUGUAGAUUUAUAAUAUGACUGUCAGGUUUCGGGUGUAACUUUCUAUUCUAUAUUUCCUGAUAUCAAGCUUCACCCUAAAGUAAAAUUGUAUUUUGGUGGUUUUAUGUUUUCGAUAGGUGAAUGCCAUCCUUCUUCCACUUGAAUCGGUGUUGUCUAAGGAUGCAGCUGCUAUGGCUGAUGCUAUAGCUAGGGAAAGUGAGACCAAGAAGGAAAUAUCACACAUCCAUGGACAAGCUAUAUAUCAAUCAUACAGUUUAAGGAUCAGGGAAUCUUGUCAGACCUUUAAGCCAUUCGUGCCAUCUCUGACAUCAGCUGUGAAGGGGCUUUAUUCACUAUUAACUAGGCUGGCAAGAACAGCUAAUCUCCAUGCUGGGAAUCUGCACAAAGUAAUAUGAAAGUUUCACGAUAUUUUUGGUUACUUGUUUCUCUUUUAUACAUAUAUGUGUGUGUCUGUGUGUGUGUGCACACAUUUAUAUGAAAUCCAUGCAAAAAAGUUUUGUAGAUAUUUUUUUUUUUGGCUCAUAUUUUGAAAGAACAAAUAUAAAUUCGUGCUAUUUGUUUUCAGGCUCUUGAAGGAAUAGGAGAAAGUCAGGAAGUAAAAUCACAGGAUAUUGUUUUGUCUACAUCAGAUGCUGGUGGUGGUGAUGCUGUUGAGUUUGAUAGUAAAGAAGGGGAGAGUCUCUCUAGGUCUGAUGAUGACAAGACAGACGAUAUUAUUGGCUUUUCUCGACUUUCUUUGGAAGAAAAAGGAUGGAUAUCACCACCAGAUAGCAGCUUCUGUAGCAGCUCAGAAUCUGACAGUACAUCUGCUGAAGUUAGUCUUCCUGAUAGCUUGAAUGAUUCGGCAGAAAAUACAGAUAUGCUUUCACAGGUGUCUAGUAGCAGAAACCCUAUCAGUCAUUUACAUACCUCUUCUUUGUCUCAAACUGAUGUAGAAGAAAUCUCACCUUUUGAGGUGUCAGAAUCGUUUCCUCUGGAAGCUGAUCUCAACAGUGCUGAAUCUCUAAAGUUAACUAAUGAGGCCACCGAACAUCCCAGUGCUAUGCCUUUUCCCAGUGAGAAAUCUGUUGCCAGCUCUGCUGUCUCCCAGAACCCAUCAAAUGAGAACUUAGACAAGUUUGAUGGUGAAGAUGAUUUUCUUUCUACAAAUAAAGCUAAGAAUGGCACAGAUCACCGAGAAACUCCCGAUGUUGACUUCUAUACCAGUACUCGAGUAGGAAGGGGUAUGUAUAAAGUCUUUUUUCAACUACUUAUUUCUUGUCUCUUUUCAUUUGAUUUAAAUCUCACAUUAGUAACCAAGUGAUUGGGCUCAAUUGGUUAAUGAGCUCCAGUUAAGGAUGAAUCAUUUGGGAGAACUUGAGUUUCAAUCGUGGCUGGAACAAUGUGCGAGAUAGGAACCGCUAACAAUCUUUUACAUUCACCCUCGUAGUAUUUAAUUUACGUCCUUUGACUUCAUAAAAUCUUUGUGACUUCAUAAAACCUUUUCUGUUUGCACUUAUCUGUAGGCAAAAAUGCUUAUGCCUUGUCAGUAUUGAGGCGGGUUGAGAUGAAAAUUGAUGGUCGGGAUAUUUCUGAACGCAGGUAUGGGUAUAUAGCUCUUUUUGGCACUCAAUCUUCUGCUGAACUUUAUCACUGAUACCGAACCUUCUUUGAAUUUCAGAGAAAUUAGUAUUGCAGAGCAAGUAGAUUAUCUACUAAAGCAAGCUACUAGUGCAGAUAAUCUUUGUAACAUGUACGAAGGUUGGACACCAUGGAUUUGAGGUUUCAGGAGGUUUCUCAUACUUGAACAUCUUAAAUAGAAGUCCCAUUCUCAAUAUCAUGUAAGAACUGGCCUCAGGCAUGUUCAGUUGAUCAAGGUGUGGAGUAGGACCUUUGGUGUGAUUAUUUCCUUGUGACAAGGAAGCCCCCACUCCGAUGUUUUUGGAGGUCCCUUUAGUCUGGCCAUAUUGUGAAAUCUACCAAUGAUCCCAAUUAGUAAUCUAUGCAUGGCCGCUACUGAACUGAGUUCUGUUUAGAUUCCGCCAUCCUUUUGAUUUCAGCAUUUGUCCUGGCAGAGUUAUUAUUUCACACCUUGCAUGCGGGAUUGCAUCUUCUAUCCCAUGAUAUGCUGCAGAGAAGUUCAAGGCUCGCAGCUGGGCUCGUGGAAUAUUAUAAAAAUUUGGUGCCUUCUCCUGAUGUAAACAGUGCGCUGCAGCUUUGAACACCUGUUACUUGCAUUGCCAUAUUGAUGGAAAAGUAUUAUUUGGCUCCCCUCGGCUCUUGAAGGCUAAAAGAAAAGACGCUGUAUACUAACAAUCGGGCUGUGGAUUAUCCAGUUAUUGUUUUGGCUGGAGCAUUACAUGUUUGCAAAACUGAAGUCCAGCAUCAGUUGCACAUAUCCAUGUAAUAUUCAUAUAUAUAAGAUAUAGGUCAAAUAAUCAACCGCACUUUCCUUUAUUAUGCAAUGUCAAUCCUGCCCAAGAUUGGGUUGGUGAUUGAUAUUUGAACUGUUUGACAUUAUUGUAAAUUUCAUGUACUUUUACCAUUUUAGUGCUCUUUGUACAACUCUUCCUCUAUAGAAGGAAGGAACUUGUAUGACAUUUGCCCACACCUAUAAUAUAAGAAAUAAAAAAAUUCUAAUGUUGCAUCUCUUGGCAAUUGAGAACCCAAGAUUUUAGGUUCAUAUCAUAAUAUCACUACAAAGAUGACCUUAGUUUUUUUUUUUUCUUCUUUUUAUAGAAAUAGAUGAUUAUAGUUUUAAAAAAUUUCUCCAUUUUAUUAUUAUUUUAAUUUAAAUAAUCUUUUUAAAUAUAUUUUUCGAAACAUGCUUUAACAAGUGAGUAACUUGUAUCAAAUGCAAAACUUCUAUCAACCUAUAAAUCAUGCAUCCUUAAAAUUUUGGUUUCUGUAGUUUCUUAUCUACUUAACUCUAGGACUAAAAUUUCUUGAUGUGCAUGAAAUUUUCAUGUUUUUAAUUAAAUAAGAAAUAAUAUCCUAAAGAUAAGGAUAUAUGGGUUCAUCAUAGUUAUCCUUGCAUACAGCAGAUGCGCCACUAGGGAGGGAUGGGAGCACGUGGCAAUAUAUGAGACAUAAUACGGGGAUCUUCUCUCGGCCGUUGUUAAUGCAAACCUCGUACGUUGUAACUGAAUCUGAUUGAGAUUUGAGCCAAGCCAACAGAUAGAUACAUUGCAAAGGUAAAAACAGUGGCUAUUUCUACGGUGCAAUAAUACAACUCAACUUUUAUGUGGGUGGUGCAAGUUGUUUAUUUAUACACUUGAUAGUACCGUAGCACGGGAUUGCUAUUUGCUAGUAUUUUACUUCAUAGUUUAUAGUUUAUACUACUAUAGCAUAGUUGGUCAAUAAUAAUACUAAUCUAAUACAACGGUAUCGCUAGCGGUUUUGCAUACAAAAGUUUUAUUAUCUUAGCACAAAAGCUUCUGUAGUUGUUUAUAUAAAAAAUAACUUUCCAGUAUUUCAUUUCAGCUCGAGCAUGAAGUUAUUUAUUUCUUAACCGACUGACUUCCUUAUCCUUAUAUAUAUCUCAAACAAAAUCCAAAGCAAAUUAAACAUCCACUCUACUAUACUAGUACUAAUUUUGAGCUUACCGAUCAUUUUAGUGCUUUUGGUCUUUUUGUAGUGAUGUCUGGACUUGUUGAUAUAUGGACAAACGAGAUGUCCAAACUGAGAGAAAAAGAAAAGGAAAAGUGUCAAAUUCACUCUGCUAUCUCGACCAACUUCACUCAACAUAAGUUCAUCCUUAUACAGCCUUUGUAAUUCAUUGUACUCUUAAUCUCUGACGGACGAACUUCGGUACCAUUUGUAUUCAAGUGGUCUGUGUUGGGUUGUUAAUGUAUUUGUACUCUUUUUAGCCUAAUUGACUCUGACACACAUACCUAUACAUAUCUUUUAUCUUUAACAUCUUUAAUUAUCUAUUUAAUAAAAUUAUGAAAAUUUAACAUUUUGAAAAUAUUGACCUAGACGAAUCCAACAUCUUAUAUAAUUAUUAUUUAUCUUUGAAUAUUAAUAGAAAAAUAUGAUCAAAAUAUGUCGGAUCAAAGUGCAUAUUGUCAAACAUAUCAUCUAAUAUGGAAUGAAAUGAAUACUUAUAUAUGCUUUAAAGACUAUUUAGCAUUCUCCUUAAAAAAAGUCAUCCUUAUAUAUUAUUUUACUUUAAUUCUUAAUAAUAUUGUUGUUUCAUUAUUUAGAUGCGCUAAGAAUCUAGAGAAUAUUAUUUAACCAUUAGCUUGGAAUAGUAUACUUGGAAAAUAAAGACACAUGACAUUAUUAGUUAAAUGGACUAGAACUACUGGGUUACAUUUGGAGGUGAAGUGAAGAUCGAAGAGAGAAGAGUUUUUGGGAUGAUGAGAGUAGGGGAAAAAUAGUGACAUAUUUAAAUUUUUGAGAAAUGAUUUAUUAUAGGAUGAUAAGAGAAUAAAUAUUUUGAUAUAUUUUUAACCAUUAGUGUAUUGUAACAACAUAGAUUAGAUUUGGAUCCUAAAAAAAAAAAAAAUAGAUUUGGAGAAUUUACUCAAUCCUUCCAAAAUCCUUCUUUCGUAUAAUUCUUUUAAAUCAACAAAAUUUUGUAUCAUGAAUAAAAAUAAAUCCCUAAAGUCCUUCCUUCCUACCUAAAAUUUCUCAUUAUUUCCACUCCAUCCUUCUUUUUUUUUUUUUCAAACCUCUCUCCUUACUUCCCCUGGAAACUCUCAAACAGAUCGUAAGUGUCUUGUUCAUGUUUAGGAUAAGAUGACCUUAACACAUCAUCUUCUAGUUUCUUUGACUGCUGAUUAUAUUGUCCCAUGAUUCAAAAAGGAUUAUCAUAUUGUGUCAACUUUUGUCAAUGAUGUUGUCGGUAUCACCAUUGAACAUAAUAUCUAGUAUGAAAUCCUCCUUGUAUUCUAGGUAGUCAUCUAACUUUUCAUUAUCCCACUUUAGAAAGUCAGUUGAUGCAACCUUCUGUUCACGGCUAUCUAUGGAGAAGUUGGCAAAUGAAUGACAUCUUUGCCUAAUGGUUUUGGUUCAUGAACAUCUAGCCCUAGUAUAUUAGUAGUUUUUUCCUUAAGAAUUCUACUAUUGUUGGGCCAAUUAUCAACGGCUCAUCAGAGGCCCCAACUUCUUUGUUGGGAGAUCCGUCCCACCUUAUGGGGUUUCCCAGCUUUGAAGUCACUAAAGAUUGGGAUCUUUGAGGUGACUAGCCUGUCAAAUAUCGAUGUCUUACGUGUAGCUCGACUCCUUGGAAGGACUCAAUUGAUCUAGGUUUGGGCUGCUGAACUUGCUUCAUCACUUUCUUCCACUUUCCAUUUGUUCUAAAGCAUGUGGGUUUAGAGAAAGAAACCAUGGUUAUCUCCAUGUUUGAGAAACGAUUGGUAUAUUCAAAAGUUAAUACAGUUAGUUAUUGCGUGGUUGUAGGAAUUGUGCCAUUUAUUUUGCCUUUAGUUUUCUCAAUUAUAGAGGAAUUUUAUGAUCAUCAAGUAGCCAAAUCUACUUAUCUUUCAGCAUAUAAUCAAAUAUUUGGUUAUGUCAAAGAUGUACUUAGUUCAGUAUUCUAAUGUAGUGGUGUCCUUCCUUUUAGCUGAUCUCAAAGCCGAAAACAUAUAACUUUCCCAUUUCAAGACCUAAGUCGUUAAAUUGUAUGUCGUUUGACCGACUGACAUAUCAUCAUUGGAUUCUUCCAUGUCUAUAUGGAAACAAGGUGUGAACCUUUUCGUAGGCUAGUAUACCUCUUUUGUGUAUUUUAUAAACUACUCUAUGUAUUAUCUUCGGGAGGGUCGUUCAUUCAAACCAUGAUAGUCUUUUCCAACCAACUUACCUUUUAGUUGAGGUGUAUGUCAUUAUUUACCAUUGAUGCAUAUUUAGCCUCACAAAAUUUACAAACAUUUUCCAUCCAUUUUUCCUGAACCUUUCAAUAUAAUUAGUAGCUGAUUUAUUGUUAUCUAAGAUUGAACAUUAGCUCAAUCCAAAAAAUUUAAGUAAGCAGUGGCAGAUCUUCUCUUAAACUUAUGGAAGUCAUGACAUACCCCAGUUUGGAUCUUCUCUUAGUUCCAUGCGAGCCAUGACAUCCCCACUUUUUCUAUAUAUACCAUAUAUGGCAUAAAAGUUACACAAGUUUUCCUCUGCCACAGUGGGUAGUGAGUAUGCGGGAAUUGAACCCGCAUUCCUGCACCGGAUUCAAGCAAAAGUAACCCACUUUUUUUUUAAACAAGCAAAAGUAAACCACCAGACUAGUUAAUAUUUCUGAUAAUUUUUUGAAACAGCUUAAUAUACGUUCCAUAAACUUUUGACACCCCUAAAAAAUAACUCAAGAUCCAUCACUAUAUGUGAACACCAAACAUAAAAAUAAAAAAAAUAAAAAAAUAAAAAAAAAAAAGUGAUUACCUUUUUUAUACUUUAUAUCAUAUUAAAAAAACAACAUUUAUUUUCUUUUUAUAUUCGACAAAAACAAUAUUUAGAAGAAAAAGCAUAAUAUAAAUAAGAGAGAUAGUCGUUCAAAAAAUAUUAAAAAAAUAUAUUUUUUUGGAUAAAAAUAGCAACAUGUCAUUUCUCAUCAUAUUAUUCAAUUCUAGUGUAUUCCAUCACAAUUCCAUCUUAUCCUUAUCACCAAAUUAUGUCCUACAAUAAUUACUAUGAGACAAAACCAUUUACAUCACCAACAGAAAAAAGGGCAAAAACAACAAAAGAAAUGGCCCCAGAAUAUUCUAAACUUUUUAGUAUAUCCAAACCAACCUACAGUAAGUCACGUUCCUUGUUGUACUGUGUGCCACCGCAUCCCAAAGUGCGCCAAAGGUCCCAAUGCAUUGCCCCUAGUUUAGUUGCCUCAACAAAACCUUAUAUUAUAAAUAACCCUAUUCUCAUAAUAAGUUCCUAAUAUAUUGAAAACAAAACACAAAUCCAGACAAAGAAUUAAGAAAAUUAAUGGCUGCCAUUGUAGAGGGAUGGGUUGGGGAGCUAACAAAGCUCAGAGAAAAAGUUCUUCCCAACAAGAGCAAGCCUUUGCUUUCAAAAGCCAAACAUGGAGCAGAUCAAAACAACAAGAAGAACGUUGGUGUUCCACCAAGAGACACCUCUGUUGCCUCUGACUCUUCAACUAUGUCAGAGGCAACCGUGUGUUUGCUUAUGGAUCGAUUUGUUCCUUGGUGAUAAUAUUUAUUCCUAGUCCAGUAACAUGUGUAUAUAUUCUAGCUUCUUGUGUUUUUUGUUGCAAGAUUAAUUGAGAUGCAUGGUUUGUAUUGUAUAUAUACUUGAUCGAUCUAUGUAUGUUACUUUUCAUAGUAAUGGAAAUUUACUUCUCUUGCUAAUUGUUUGUGCUUGUUUAGAUUCAUAAACCUAAUAGCUUGCAGUUUUGCGUGAAAAUGUGAUGUUCAAUUUAUUUAUGUGGUUGUUUUUAGUUCAGUGUGAUGAUCAAAUUUAGUGAUACACACUCUGCAAGAGUUUCCCUAUCAGAAGUUUUUUAUUUUUGAUGUGCAUAAAAGUUCAGAAGUUACAAAAUAUUAUUGUUGAAAAAGUGCUCUUUGGUCUCUUGAAGAUAUUUCUCAACAAAAAAACAAAAAACAUCAGGGUCUCUUGAGAUAUUUAUUUUGAUAAAAAAUCUCUCUUAAGAUAUGUUUCAUAGGUCUCAAUUCCAUCCAACUUCAACAAUCCAAACAAAUCCUAAGAUAUUUGGAAAAAAAUUAUUUUCUAUGAUCUGCCUUUUAUAUAAUUUGUAUACGUAUAUUGCACCUAUACAACAAUUGGUGGGACUGUGAAAAGGAAGAACUUCUAUUAUAAUUCCAACUUCAUGAAUCUAUGAUCAAAUAUUCAAUUAGAGUCCUCUUCCUUUUCUCUCUUUUUCAUACAUCAAUUUCUAGACUGUUUGUACAUAUGAUAGUGUUAGGUAUUUGCAGUUUUUAGGCAUUGUUUUGUGCCUAAUGGUGGAACAACAGUUUUUUGUUUUGACAAAGUGUUUGAAUAUUAGUUGAAAUAGCUUACUUGUUUAAAAAAAUAGUUGAAAUAGUUAAAAAUAUUUUCCAACUAUAAAUUGAUUUUUAGUUAUUUG